CAACUUCCGUCUAUCUCCUAUCCAACUAUUUUUGAAUCGAUCCCCAGAUGCAGAUUGACUGAAAACCCUAGCACUAUGUCUCUUGCCUCUAACUGGCGGCUCCUCCUCUGAUUUCCCUUCAGCUCCAAACCGCCGCAGCACCCUCCGGCCUCCUCCCGUCUCCUUCCCUAACCCCAGGCGCCUCCUCCCUUCGCAUCUGCCGGCCACCGCGUCGUCCCCUCGCACCCUCCUACUCACCCGGCUCCAUCCAAUUCCAAACCCUAGCCUGUAGCCGCCCCUGCCUCUCCUCGCGAGUCAUACAACAACGCAGCCCCUCCAGGCACCUUGCCGCCUGCUAGCCGCAACGCUGCCGCUCCCCACCCGCGGCGCCGGGUGGGCCGCCGCCGCCACGAGGACCCUGGACCGCCGCCACUACGAUGGGCCGGCGUGGCGCUCCUCUCCAAGAUCGGCCGCCGUUCAUCUCGUCCUCAGGCUCUCUCGGUCUCUCCCUCCCUUCCGCAGCCAUCCUGGAUCAGUCUGACCUUCACUGGCCUGGCAUCAGCGUUCAUCGGUUAUGGUUUCUGUCGGUUUCAGGGGCUGCUGACCCAAGCUAACCCUGUGAUGUCAACUGAUGUUUCUGCUCAAGAUAACAACAGGCAUUGCUGCCUUGCUGAUCUGAUUUGCAGGUUUUUGUUGCAGAGGAUGAGUGCAAAAGGAAGCACAGGAAGUAGGACAACUGUUUUUUUAAUUAGUUUUCUGUUAGAAUUGACUGAAAGAAGAUAUAACAUUCAGGGAAAGGUGUCUAUCUGUUUCAUUUAUAUCUAUCAUAUGGAACAAAUUACUAGAACUCCUUUUUCUAUGACGAGUACUGAAAAACAAUACUGCUUUCUAUGACGAGUACUGAAAAACAAUACUGCUAAUAAAUAGUUCAUAUUGCAUAUGUGCAAUAUAAGUUUCAGAAUAUUAAGUCAUAUCCCUAUGCUUAUUGUUAUUAGUUUUGGUGAUUAAUUCAUGCAGGCAAGAAGACAACAUGUGCAUAAUCUGCACAAUGCUACAAGAUAACUGGACCAACUAGCGCAGCCGCACCGGACAUUUCUGUGAGCCCCAAUCCUAACAUAUUUGUUUUACCUGCAAUUGAAGUGUUUGACGAAAUGCAUCCUCAACAGUCAAAAAGAUAGCAAGUCAGAAAUAUGCCUUGAGAUCUAGGUAAUACUCUCCUCUCCUUCGGUCCCUCUGCUGUCCUGAAACUCUGAUAUGUUCUUUUAGAGAGUAGAGAGUAGAGAUUAGAGAGCACUGAAAUGCAUCUUACAGUGCGCUGUUCCUGUUGAGAUAUAUGAUUUAUGAGUGAUUAUAGAUGCGGUCAGUAAUUGGGAUCUUCGUGGGUGGAUUCAUGUGGGAUAGAUUUUGGAUAAUUCCAUUUUCCAUUUGUGCUAGUACUCUGGCAUGUAUUUCAGAUGUUGGCAGAAGUCUUGGACAGCUUGGAGUGAGCACCGAUAAUGUCAUUUGUUUGUCGUAUUUUUCAUUGAUAUGUAUGGAUUUUUUUUGGCAAAGUAACUUUUUUCAUGUAAAGUUGAUAUUACGGCGACCUAUUCAAAUUUGAUUCUACUUUAAAUUCUAGUAGUAACUUAGAGCAUUACUUGCUGUUAUGAUUUGAUAGUAGCCCAUUGGAUUCACAAAUCCUUUUAUUGCAAAUAUUGCCGACUGAAAGUAUUUGACAUUUUGACAAUGUGCUCUUUUCAGGCUGAGGAUCAUAUGCAAGGAUCAUUGCUAGCCAGUGCUGCACAUUUCAUUAGCUUCAUGUUCACGGAAAUACUUCUGUAGCUGAUGUAUUGGUAGCAUUGCUCGAAACAAAAUAGAUUCAGUUUUUCAGUAUCAACUAUAUGUGUUGGUCUAACGGCAUGAAAUUGAGUCCAUAGAUGCAACUAUUUUUUUAGAGUUAUAUCUGCAAUGAUAAAAGUUAAACAUACUUUAGCUACAUUCUGAUAAUUUUAUGAUUCGCAAUGAAACUUUGGUUUGCUACAUGCUGUUGUUGCACCCUUUCCAUUAUUACAGAUUAUUUGAUGCUUAAAAAUGUUAUUCAUUCUUUUCAGGAGACUAGGCCAUUUCGAAUGGAGCAAUCAGGUGAUGGGACCUUCUUGAAGUCACCCUUUGCUAAUCAAGUGAUGGGAUCGUCUUGAAGUCACUCUACUAUGUGUUCAAACAAUAUCCUGUUGGAAACUUAUUAGUAUUUCAGUACUGCUCGUGUGUCCUGGAAUUUAUCAGUGAAUGGUUGAAUGUUGUUUCAUGAAUUAUAAAUGCAUAAUUAUUAUAUGAUCCUGUAUUUUUAUGUUUUAAA